GCCUUCGUGGUGUAAUGGUAGAACACUCGGAGUGUAUUCGAGAGGUCCAGUUUCGAGUCUCGGCGAAGGCA
rfam:Stegodyphus mimosarum contig64123, whole genome shotgun sequence.